UGGGCCAGCUCUCAAUGCAAAUGUGUGGGCUUAUGGGAUAGAGCUUCCUGGCAGCCAAUGAGAAAAAGGAAAUAACUCGGUUACAUGCUUCACAAGAUCUAAGAGUUAACAGUAAAGCAUAUGAUCAGAAGACACCUGGCUGAUAGAGGCUGGGAUCACAAGAUCUCCCAAGAGGAGAUCCAAAGCCACACAGCACCAUGAACCCAAGAUCCCACACCUCACAAAACCCAAAGACCAGUUUCCUAGGGCUACGUGUUGGAGCAGCCUUCAGAAUUAGCAGUCUGAAGAAAGAGUGACCAUGCAGGGAUGGUGACCAGGCCUAGGCCACAACAACCCUCAGGAAAGGUUCACAGGUGUGGCGUAAGUCCCACCCGCAGGGCCCUCAGCUUUAGGGGAAGGAAGCAACUUCUGUCAGGUGUCUGAUGGCCUGGGAGCAAAGCCUGCUGUGGAGUGAGUGACUGUCCUCCUGUGCUGACACAAGGGCCUAUUGUACAGGAACCUGAGAGGAGAGAUGAGUCAGAAGGCUGGUCCCUGUCUCAGCCAGGCCAGCCUGUGGGAGGCGGAACUACUGCCCAGCACUAGACGGAAAGGCCCUGGUUUCCUGUCCCUCCCCAACUCCUCAGCCCAGCCACAGCCCUUCCAGUCAGAAGAGUACUGAGGCCCCACCCAUUGGAUCCCAGCUUGGACUGGGCUUCAGUCAUCCUCCCAAAUUCACAGAUGAUAAAAUAUCAACAGGAGCCUGAGUACCCGCAGCCAUCGCCCAGCUGCCAUCUGGCAGAGAGACGACCUGUUCCUUCGUCCUUAGAGCCUGGUCUCCAGCCACCUGCAUGAGGCCCAGCUGCCCUGUGUGUGUGCAAGAGAUGGGGUUGGGACAGUAAGAAGAGGAUGGGGCACCAGGGAUCACCUGAGUCUUGAGGCUCAGGUGGGAUGGAACCGACCCAGAAAUGACUAUGAAACUGAACACCACAAAGAGUGGUGCUCCCUAAUGAGGAGCAGAAAGGCCCAAACAAGUGGAAAGCAAAUCCAGCAAAACACCAGCUAGUCUACACUGAGGCGAGGAUACCCAUUCAACUGCAAUGACCCAAACCCUGGUGGCAACCACAGAGCUUAAGCUCCAGGCCACACCUAAGAACAACCAGGACACCAGAGGGCAGAUACAGUGAGCACCAAGCACUGGAACCAAUGAAGUCGCCCCAGAUAGGCUAGAGAUGCUCAUGACCUGACUAUCCACCCUCAGCCCAUUAUCUACUGACAAAAUCAGAUUCUGGUGGUGUCGCCCCGCUGGGGACAGGCUGCCUGUGGCUUCCAGCCCUGGUAUGUAAAUAGACCUGGCUCUCUCAGUGCCUCCCAGGAUUCACCCUUUCCUAUUGAAUGACAAGAACAAAGAUGACCACAAGAGGAUGUGUCCCUGUUACCUUCUCUACUCCAACUUUAGGCUCUGGUAAGAGUUACGACCUAGAAGUUAUGGCCCAGGAAUGUAGCAAUAGUCUGCAGGCAUAGAUCAUCAGAGAAUGACUUGCUGACUACAAAGUGUGGACUGAAUGGCAGGGCUUAGGCUCAAGGCCUGGAGAGUCAACCUCGCCCCCGGAGCUAGUACCAAAGACAUGCCAGCUUGUCUCAUUUGCUGCCUCUCAGAUACCGUGACCUGGACGGUAUCGCCACCUGGACUGGUCUCGAGCCAACCCCCCCACCAAGAUCAGGGACGACCAGCAAGCAAUGAAAGUUUGUAGCUCCUGCAGGGGUCCAAGACCCAAGGGCAUAUCCACCCCCUCCUUUCCUCACCAGUUCCCUACAGACCCAAGAGGGCUGGGGAAUAGACCAGGUUGGAAGCUUGA